rnacentral:rRNA from 1 species
AUUGAACGCUGGCGGCAUGCCUUACACAUGCAAGUCGAACGGUAACGCGGGGCAACCUGGCGACGAGUGGCGAACGGGUGAGUAAUAUAUCGGAACGUGCCCAAUAGUGGGGGAUAGCCCGGCGAAAGCCGGAUUAAUACCGCAUGAGACCUGAGGGUGAAAGCGGGGGAUCGCAAGACCUCGCGCUAUUGGAGCGGCCGAUAUCAGAUUAGGUAGUUGGUGGGGUAAAGGCUCACCAAGCCAACGAUCUGUAGCUGGUCUGAGAGGACGACCAGCCACACUGGAACUGAGACACGGUCCAGACUCCUACGGGAGGCAGCAGUGGGGAAUUUUGGACAAUGGACGCAAGUCUGAUCCAGCCAUUCCGCGUGCAGGAUGAAGGCCCUCGGGUGUAAACUGCUUUGUACGGAACGAAAAGGUUUCUCUUAAUACGAGGGGCUCAUGACGGUACCGUAAGAAUAAGCACCGGCUAACUACGUG